rfam:Schistosoma curassoni strain Dakar, Senegal genome assembly, scaffold: SCTD_contig0006155
GCACUACUGAGGAGUCCCAUACUAGGACGAAACGGCCGUCCAGUGC